rnacentral:rRNA from 1 species
GAUGAACGCUAGCGGCAGGCUUAAUACGUGCAAGUCGUGGGGCAGCGCAGUGUAGCAAUACAUGGGCGGCGACCGGCAAACGGGUGCGGAACACGUACACAACCUUCCGAUAAGUGGGGAAUAGCCCAGAGAAAUUUGGAUUAAUACCCCGUAACAUAGUGAUGUGGCAUCACAUUACUAUUAUAGCUACGGCGCUUAUCGAUGGGUGUGCGGCUGAUUAGAUAGUUGGCGGGGUAACGGCCCACCAAGUCUACGAUCAGUAGCUGAUGUGAGGACAUGCUCAGCCACACGGGCACUGAGACCCGGGCCCGACUCCUACGGGAGGCAGCAGUAAGGAAUAUUGGUCAAUGGACGCAAGUCUGAACCAGCCAUGCCGCGUGAAGGAUUAAGGUCCUCUGGAUUGUAAACUUCUUUUAUCUGGGACGAAAAAAGGCGAUUCUUCGUCACUUGACGGUACCAGAUGAAUAAGCACCGGCUAACUCCGUGCCAGCAGCCGCAGUAAUAC